CAUUUGCAUCUGUUAUUGGUUUGUACAGUAUUGUCCGAGCAAAGUAAGCACUCUUUAAAUACUGUCAGUAGUUCCUGG